rnacentral:lncRNA from 7 species
AUGGACGGGCUGGCGGAUGGAGAGAUGGACAGAUUGACAGCUGGGUGGGCAGACAGACGGAUGGACAGGCGGAUGAGCAGGUGGAUGGACAGACAGCUGGAUGGACAGACGGACAGGCGGAUGGGCGGGCAGGUGGUCAGGUGGACAGAUGGACGGCUGGAUAGAUGGACAGACAGACAGCUGGGUGGGCAGACGGAUGGGCAGAGAGUCAGUUGGAUGGACAGACAGACGGACAGGCGGAUGGGCAGAGUCAGUUGGAUGGACAGACGGACAGGCGGAUGGGCAGCCCAAUGGACAGAGUCAGUUGGAUGGACAGAUGGACGGACAGGCAGAUGGAUGGACAGACAGACGGACAGGCGGAUGGGCAGGCAGAUGGACAGACAGCUGGAUGGACAGAUGGACGGACAGGCGGAUGGGCAGAGAGUCAGUUGGAUGGACAGACGGAUGGACAGGCGGAUGGAUGGACAGACAGACGGACAGGCGGAUGGGCAGAGAGUCAGUUGGACGGACGGACCGACAGACGGAUGGGCAGGCAGAUGGACAGAGUCAGUUGGAUGGACAGACAGGCGGACAGGCAGAUGGGCAGGGAGAUGGGCAGAGAGUCAGUUGGAUGGACAGACAGACGGACAGGCAGAUGGGCAGAGUCUGUUGGAUGGACAGACGGACGGACAGGCGGAUGGGCAGGCAGCUGGAUGGACAGACGGACAGCUGGCUGGUCUGGCAAAUGGACGGACAGACAGACAGACACCAGGAUGGACAGUCAGCCAGCCUGACAGCCGGGUGGACAGCCGGACAUCCAGCUGGACGGACAUCCAGCCACAGAGACGGACAGACGGAUGGACAGAGGGACGGACAGACGGACGGACGGACAGCGCCCAAAUCCUUCCCUUUAACGACGGCCAAAAACCCGACCCGACCCGACCCGACCCAUCCCAUCCCCCGGGGGGAGGAAUCCACCCACCCCCCCCACCCACCCACCCCAUCCGCGGGGACGACACAACCGGUCCGUCCGUCCGUCUGUCCGUCCGUCCGUCCGUCCGUCCUUCAGGCCGGGGCGGUUUCGUAGCCCUACGAGCAGAACGGGGCGGAGGAUAAGAGAGCAAAACCGCCUUCGGGUCGGCGUUCCCUUUACGGGGGGGGGGACGUCAAAAGCCGUCGCCUUCACCUGCCGGGACCUCAAAGACACCCCACACCUUCCAGGACCCGACCCCCACCCCCACCCCCACCCAACCCCCCCACCCCACCCUGAGUCACCGCUGAGACACGGCCCACAUCCCAACCCCGCCAUAAAUACGGCCCAGGGAUCGCUCCUCCGCUUCCCGACGCUCCUCCUCCUCCCGGUGAGUCCGUCUGUCCGUCCCCGUGGUGGGGUGGGGUGGGGGGGGAUUGGGAAUUGGGGGGGGGGUUUGGGGGGGUGGGGGGUCUCCUCUCCCCCACCACCUCUCGGUUUGGGGCCGUUCGUUGCUGGGGUGGAUCUCUGCGGUUUAAUUUCAGGGGGAGGAAAUUUAAUGGGGGGAGAGGGGUGGGGAAAUCGGGUCUGGGGUCUGUGAGAGGAUGGGAAAGGAGUUGGGGGGUGGGAAAUUGGGUCUGGUGUCUGCGAGGAUGGAGAUGCACCUGGAGGGGGGGGUCACAUUGGGUCUGGGGUCUCUGAGAGGAUGGGAAAGGAGUUGGGGGGUGGGGAAAUCGGGUCUGGGGUCUCUGAGGGGAUGGGAAAGGAGUUGGGGGGUGAGGAAAUGGGGUCUGGGGUCUCUGAGAGGAUGGGAAAGGGGUUGGGGGGUGGGGAAAUGGGGUCUGGGGUCUCUGAGAGGAUGGGAAAGGAUUUGAGGGGUGGGAAAUUGGGUCUGGGGUCUCUGAGAGGAUGGGAAAGGAGUUGGGGGGUGGGAAAUUGGGUCUGGGGUCUGUGAGAGGAUGGGGAAGGAUUUGAGGGGUGGGAAAUUGGGUCUGGGGUCUCUGAGAGGAUGGGAAAGGAGUUGGGGGGUGGGAAAUUGGGUCUGGGGUCUGUGAGAGGAUGGGGAAGGAUUUGAGGGGUGGGGAAAUGGGGUCUGGGGUCUCUGAGGGGAUGGGAAAGGAUUUGGGGGGUGGGGAAAUGGGUCUGGGGUCUCUGAGAGGAUGGGAAAGGGGUUGGGGGGUGGGGAAAUCGGGUCUGGGGUCUCUGAGAGGAUGGGAAAGGAUUUGAGGGGUGGGGAAAUGGGGUCUGGGGUUUGCGAGGAUGGAAAAUCAUCAAGGGGGUGGGGAAAUCGGGUCUGGGGUCUCUGAGAGGAUGGGAAAGGGAUUUGGGGGGUGGGGAAAUGGGGUCUGGGGCCUCUGAGGGGGUGGGAAAGGAGUUGGGGGGUGGGGAAAUUGGGUCUGGGUCUGCGAGGAUGGAGAUGCACCUGGAGGGGGGGGUCACAUUGGGUCUGGGGUCUCUGAGAGGGUGGAAAAGGGAUUUGGGGGUGGGGAAAUUGGGUCUGGGGUCUGUGAGAGGAUGGGGAAGGAUUUGAGGGGUGGGGAAAUGGGGUCUGGGGUCUCUGAGAGGAUGGGAAAGGAGUUGGGGGGUGGGGAAAUCGGGUCUGGGGUAUUUGAGAGGAUGGGGAAGGAUUUGGGAGGUGAGGAAAUGGGGUCUGGGUCUGUGAGGGGGUGGGAAAGGAGUUGGGGGGUGGGGAAAUCGGGUCUGGGGUCUGUGAGAGGAUGGGAAAGGGAUUGAGGGGUGGGGGAAAUCGGGUCUGGGGUCUCUGAGGGGGUGGGAAAGGGAUUUGAGGGGUGGGGAAAUGGGGUCUGGGGUCUCUGAGAGGAUGGGGAAGGAUUUGGGGGGUGGGAAAUUGGGUCUGGGGUCUGCGAGGAUGGAGAUGCACCUGGAGGGGGGGGUCACAUUGGGUCUGGGGUCUGUGAGAGGAUGGGAAAGGAGUUGGGGGGUGGAAAUUGGGUCUGGGGUCUGUGAGAGGAUGGGGAAGGAUUUGAGGGGUGGGGAAAUGGGGUCUGGGGUCUGUGAGAGGAUGGGGAAGGAUUUGAGGGGUGGGGAAAUGGGGUCUGGGGUCUGUGAGAGGAUGGGGAAGGAUGUGGGGGGUGGGGAAAUUGGGUCUGGGGUCUGCGAGGAUGGAGAUGCACCUGGGGGGGGGGUCACAUUGGGUCUGGGGUCUCUGAGAGGAUGGGAAAGGGAUUUGGGGGGUGGGGAAAUCGGGUCUGGGGUCUCUGAGAGGAUGGGAAAGGGAUUUGAGGGGAUGGGAAAUGGGGUCUGGGGUCUCUGAGAGGAUGGGAAAGGAGUUGGGGGGUGGGGAAAUCGGGUCUGGGGUAUUUGAGAGGAUGGGGAAGGAUUUGGGGGGUGAGGAAAUGGGGUCUGGGGUCUGUGAGGGGGUGGGAAAGGAGUUGGGGGGUGGGGAAAUCGGGUCUGGGGUCUGUGAGAGGAUGGGAAAGGGAUUUGAGGGGUGGGGAAAUCGGGUCUGGGGGUCUCUGAGGGGGUGGGAAAGGGAUUUGAGGGGUGGGGAAAUGGGGUCUGGGGUCUCUGAGGGGAUGGGAAAGGGAUUUGGGGGUGGGGAAAUGGGGUCUGGGGUCUCUGAGAGGAUGGAAAAGGAGUUGGGGGGUGGGAAAUUGGGUCUGGGGUCUGCGAGGAUGGAGAUGCACCUGGAGGGGGGGGUCACAUUGGGUCUGGGGUCUGUGAGAGGAUGGGAAAGGAGUUGGGGGGUGGGGAAAUCGGGUCUGGGGUCUCUGAGAGGAUGGGAAAGGAGUUGGGGGGUGGGAAAUUGGGUCUGGGGUCUGUGAGAGGAUGGGGAAGGAUUUGAGGGCUGGGGAAAUGGGGUCUGGGGUCUGUGAGAGGAUGGGGAAGGAUGUGGGGGGUGGGGAAAUUGGGUCUGGGGUCUGCGAGGAUGGAGAUGCACCUGGGGGGGGGUCACAUUGGGUCUGGGGUCUCUGAGAGGAUGGGAAAGGGAUUUGGGGGGUGGGGAAAUGGGGUCUGGGGUCUCUGAGAGGAUGGGAAAGGGAUUUGAGGGGAUGGGAAAUGGGGUCUGGGGUCUCUGAGAGGAUGGGAAAGGUGUUGGGGGGUGGGGAAAUUGGGUCUGGGGUCUGCGAGGAUGGAAAAUCAUCAAGGGGGUGGGAAAUUGGGUCUGGGGUCUGUGGGGAUGGAUGUGGAUCUUGGGGGGGGGAAAUUGGGUCUGGGGUCUGUGGGGAUGGACAUGGAUCUUGGGGGGGGGGAAAUUGGGUCUGGGGUCUGUGGGGAUGGAUGCAGAUCUGGGUGGCAGGGAAAUGGGGUCUGGGGUCUGCGAGGAUGGACAUGGAUCUUGGGGUGGGGGAAAUUGGGUCUGGGGUCUGUGGGGAUGGAUGUGGAUCUUAGGGGGGGGUGGGGAAAUUGGGUCUGGGGUCUGCGAGGAUGGACAUGGAUCUUGGGGUGGGGGAAAUUGGGUCUGGGGUCUGCGAGGAUGGAAAAUCAUCAAGGGGGUGGGGGAAAUUGGGUCUGGGGUCUGAGGAUGGACAUGGAUCUUGGGGUGGGGGAAAUUGGGUCUGGGGUCUGUGGGGAUGGAUGUGGAUCUUGGGGGGGGGGUGGGGAAAUUGGGUCUGGGGUCUGCGAGGACGGACACGGUGCCGGUCGUGCUGUCCCCACCCCACAUGGGACGAACCCCCUGUGCCCCCCCCCCCCCCCCACGGCAUCGGUGGUCUCAGGGCUGAUCAGGUCUGUUUUUUCCCCCCCGACCCCCCCAGGAAUGGCUCAGCACUCACACGGGGCCUUCGUCCCCACCGUCCUCCUCGUGCUGGGGCUGCUGCUGACCACCGCCCCACUGCGGGCGCAGAAGGGGAACGGGGGCAGCGGCGGAGGCAACGCAGUGAGUGCGAGGGUGUGGGGGGCGGGGGGGGAUGUGAGGGGGUGGGGGGGGUGGGGUGGGGUGGGGUGAGAUGGAAGGAUGGGAUGGGCAAGGCACGGCAAGUCCAGGCAACGCAAGGCAAGUCCAGGCCUGGCAGGGCUAUGCCAGGCAAGUCAUGACAAUGCGUGGUAAGUCCACUGAAGGAAAGGCCAGGCACAACAAGA